rnacentral:rRNA from 1 species
AGAACCUACGGGACGCAGCAGUGGGGAAUAUUGCACAAUGGGGGGAACCCUGAUGCAGCGACGCCGCGUGAGUGAAGAAGUAUCUCGGUACGUAAAGCUCUCUCAGCAGGGAAGAUAAUGACGGUACCUGAGUAAGAAGCCCCGGCUAACUACGUGCCAGCAGCCGCGGUAAUACGUAGGGGGCAAGCGUUAUCCGGAUUUACUGGGUGUAAAGGGAGCGUAGACGGCAUGGCAAGUCUGAAGUGAAAGCCCGGGGCUCAACCGCGGGACUGCUUUGGAAACUGUUAAGCUGGAGUGCAGGAGAG